UACGUAGGGUGCGAGCGUUAAUCGGAAUUACUGGGCGUAAAGUGUGCGCAGGCGGCCGAGCAAGUCGAGUGUGAAAGCCCCGAGCUUAACUUGGGAACUGCGCUCGAAACUACUUGGCUAGAGUGUGGCAGAGGGAGGUGGAAUUCCACGUGUAGCGGUGAAAUGCGUAGAGAUGUGGAGGAACACCGAUGGCGAAGGCAGCCUCCGUGGGCCAACACUGACGCUCAGUGCACGAAAGCGUGGGGAGCAAACAGG
rnacentral:rRNA from 1 species